rfam:Ophiophagus hannah scaffold468.1, whole genome shotgun sequence.
CUUGGCUCUGUAGCUUUCCCUUUGUCAUCCUAUGCCUGGGAAAUUCAGGGAGGCUGGGACGGUGAAGGGAAGCCCACAGCGCUAUAGU